AUCUUAGAUAAAGUGCUGUCAAAAUACUUUUGAAAUAAUUUUGCGUUUGUUAUGACGUUUCAGAAUUAGAUAACUCCUUUGUGUUUGUUUUUGUAUUUUCUUUGAGUUUUGGUUAUUAUGAAAACACAUCAUGUUGAAUGGACACAUCCGUUGCGUGCAUAGCUGUGACUAAUCAACACUCGUGGUAAUUAAUGGUUUGCUAGGAGAGUUUACGGAUCAUGGGCAUGGUCCUAAAAUGGAAGUCACCGUGCCAUUAUUAGAACAAUGCUAGAUCUUCUCAUUCAUCCUUGGCUGAAGAUUGCAUAGACUUGUUUGUGCCAGGCAGUGUGAAUUUGCUCUGGUUGAAAGGAAAAGCAACCAAUCCUGAUGUCUGCUCGACAACGCUCUGGUGCCAUUUUGUCUGUGUCUAUUAUCAAGCGAUUUGCAACUUCCUUGUAUUUAGGCUUAUCCAAAAAAGCCAAGCUGCACGAAAAGGAGAAGAAAAAAUAGAUGCUAAGGAUUUGAUUUCAAAAGAUUUAGUGACAUUUAGAUUUCCAGGUACACGUUCACUUGGCCCUGUUUAAAGCUUAUGUAUACUAGAUUGUUGGAUA